AUGGAGGACAGCCAGGUAUUAGUUCAUGCGGAAGACAGUCAGGCUUUAGUUCAUGCCGAAGACAGCCGGGCUUUAGUUCAUGCGGAAGACAGUCGGGCUUUAGUUAAUGCGGAAGACACCCAGGCUUUAGUUCAGGCUGAGGACAAUCAGGUUUUAGUUCAGGUGGAAGAUGGCGAUGUUCUAGUUGAGGGGGAUGAAGACCAGAUUUUACUCGAGCCAGAGAAGGACCCUGUACCGCGUGAGCAAUUCCUUUUCAUUGGCCAAGAGUUUACCAAUGUUGACACUUGCCGGAGUGCCAUCAAGGAUAUGGCUGUUGCUCUGCAUUUCCAGCUCCGCGUCGUGAAAUCAGAUCGUAGCCGAUUCAUUGCCAAAUGCAACACAGAAGGAUGCCUGUGGCGUGUGCAUGUGGCCAAGUGCCACGGUGUUCCAACUUUCACGGUCCGGACAUUGCAAGGAGAGCACACAUGUGAGGGUGUUCAGGACCUACAUCAUCAGCAGGCUACUGUUAACUGGGUGGCUAGGUCUGUUGAGGCAAGGCUAAGAGAUAAUCCGCAGAUUAAGCCAAAAGAGAUAUUGCAGGAUAUUCGGGACCAGCAUGGGGUUGCUGUGUCUUAUAUGCAGGCAUGGCGCGGAAAGGAGAGAAGCAUGGCUGCUGUUCAUGGUACCCUUGAGGAUGGAUAUCGCCUUCUUCCUGCAUACUGUGACCAGAUUGGAAAGACAAAUCCUGGUAGCGUUGCAGUAUACAAAGGGGCUGGGCCAGAGAAUUCCUUCCAACGGCUCUUUGUUUCAUUUCAUGCAUCUAUUUAUGGUUUCUUAAAUGCGUGUAGACCCCUUUUGGAAAUUGACAAGGCAGAUCUAAAGGGCAAGUAUCUUGGGACAUUGCUAUGUGCUUCGGCUGUUGAUGCUGAUCACAUGAUGUUCCCUGUAGCAUUUGGUGUUGUUGAUUCUGAAAGUGAUGAGAACUGGAUGUGGUUUAUUUCAGAACUGAGGAAGAUGCUUGGUGUUAACACAGAUAAGAUGCCUGUCUUCACAAUAAUCUCUGAGAGACAACCACAGGUGGUUGAAGCGGUCGAGGUCAACUUCCCAACUGCUUUUCAUGGAUUUUGCUUGAGAUACGUGAGUGAGAAUUUCCGCGAGGAGUUCAAGAGUCCUAAACUUCUGAACCUUUUCUGGAGUGCCGUUUAUGCUCUCACAACAGCAGAAUUUGAUUCAAAGGUAAAAGAUAUGAUGCAAGUUCAAGAUGUCAUGCCGUGGUUCCAGAAUUUUCCACCAAACCUCUGGGCAGUUGCUUACUUUGAGGGUAUCAGAUAUGGCCAUUUUAGUCUUGCGAUAACUGAGAUAUUAUAUAACUGGGCCCUGGAGUGUCAUGAGCUUCCCAUUGUGCAAACUGUUGAAUACAUCAGGCACCAACUAACCUGCUGGUUUACUGAACGUCAGAACUUGGCCCUAUCCCUUAACUCAGUUCUUGUUCCAUCUGCUGAGAAACUUAUUUCUGAAUCCAUUUCUGAUUCAAGAUGUUAUCAAGUACUCAGAGCAAACAAGGUGGAGUUUGAGAUUGUGUCAUCUGAGCGAACAAACAUUGUGGAUACUCAAACCAGGUUCUGCUCGUGCCGUCGCUGGCAAAUUUAUGGUAUUCCAUGUGCACAUGCUGCUGCUGCACUACUUUCAUGUGGCGAAGAUCCUCGCCUGUAUGCACAUGAUUGCUUUAGUGUAAUGAAGUAUAGGGAAACUUACUCUCAGCGGAUCUAUCCAAUUCCAGACAGGAUCCACUGGAGCAAUUCGUCCUCUGGGCCGCGAGGCCUAUACAAAUCAGACAUGAUACUUCGCCCACCAAAGAUCCGAAGGCCUCCUGGCCGUCCCAAAAUGAAGAUUCUCAAGAUGGAAAGCUUGAAACGGCCGAAACGGAUCGUUCAGUGUGGCCGGUGUCAUCUUCUUGGGCAUUCUCAGAAAAAGUGUUCAUUACGAAGCUGA
rnacentral:rRNA from 1 species